AGUCCUGGCUUAGGAUGAACGCUGGCGGCGUGCCUAACACAUGCAAGUCGAACGGGGUUAAGUGAAAUUUCGGAUGGAGCUUAACUUAGUGGCGGACGGGUGAGUAACGCGUGGAUAACCUGCCUCACGACUGGGGGAUAGCAGCUGGAAACGGCUGGUAAUACCGCAUAAGACCACAGCACCGCAUGGUGCAGGGGUAAAAGAUUUAUCGGUGUGAGAUGGAUCCGCGUCUGAUUAGCCAGUUGGCGGGUAACGGCCCACCAAAGCGACGAUCAGUAGCCGGCCUGAGAGGGUGAACGGCCACAUUGGGACUGAGACACGGCCCAAACUCCUACGGGAGGCAGCAGUGGGGAAUAUUGCACAAUGGGCGCAAGCCUGAUGCAGCAACGCCCGCGUGAGUGAAGAAGUAUUUCGGUAUGUAAAGCUCUAUCGGCAGGGAAGAAAGGCCCAUAACAGGGAGAUGACGGUACCUGACUAAGAAGCCCCGGCUAACUACGUGCCAGCAGCGGC
rnacentral:rRNA from 1 species